ACAAUAUCCGGGACGGUCGGUCUACCGAGCAAUUUCUCCCGCUCGGUGGAAUAUCUUCCCUUGUUCGA
rnacentral:pre_miRNA from 1 species